UUCGAGAGGGGCAAGUGUUAUUCGUAUUGACUGGGCGUAAAGGGUAUGUAGGCUGUUAAUUCAACUCAUGAAGUGAAAAUACUGUGUAAUAUGUUCAUAGAAACAUUGAUUGAAAGCUUUAACUAGAGUUAGUCUCAGGAUUAUAGAAUUUUUUUUGUAGGGCUAAAAUCCAUUUAAAAAAAAAAAAAUGCCGCUUGUGAAGACAUUAAUCUGGAGGUAACUGACGCUGAGGUACGAAAGCGUGGGGAGCGAAUAGG
rnacentral:rRNA from 1 species